GGCAGAGGGAAGCUCCGAGCUGAGUCCCUUGUGUCACUCCACUCCAGGUCACCUGGGAAGGUCUGAGACUGGAAGCCAAAAGCGGCCCCGACAGGGUCCUCCCUGAGUUUCGUGGAGGCGAGUUCCCAGAGAAUCUGAGACAGGGCCCACUGGGCAGGAGACUGGGCCGAAGACUCGCCCUUGGGGAGGGGCCUGGCGGAUGCCUCCUUAGCUGUAGCUUGGAACACACUGGGCUAGCAGAGUGAGUUCAAUGGCUGGGGGGAGGUACUCUGCCCUCAUAACCCAGUAAGACUACUCUCCCCUGUU
ensembl:ribozyme RNaseP_nuc Nuclear RNase P